rnacentral:rRNA from 1 species
GGGGAAUUUUCCGCAAUGGGCGAAAGCCUGACGGAGCAAUACCGCGUGAGGGAGGAAGGCUCUUGGGUUGUAAACCUCUUUUCUCAGGGAAUAAGAACUGAAGGUACCUGAGGAAUCAGCAUCGGCUAACUCCGUGCCAGCAGCCGCGGUAAUACGGAGGAUGCAAGCGUUAUCCGGAAUGAUUGGGCGUAAAGCGUCCGCAGGUGGUUUAUCAAGUCCGCUGUCAAAGAGUUUGGCUCAACCAAAUAAAGGCAGUGGAAACUGACAGACUGGAGUGCGGUAAGGGCAGAGGGAAUUCCUGGUGUAGCGGUGAAAUGCGUAGAGAUCAGGAAGAACACCGGUGGCGAAAGCGCUCUGCUGGGCCGUAACUGACACUGAGGGACGAAAGCUAGGGGAGCGAAUGGGAUUAGAUACCCCAGUAGUC